rnacentral:RNase_P_RNA from 1 species
GUUUUAAUCCCCUAUCACGAGGAAAGUCCGGGCAGCACAGAGCACCACAGCGGUUAACGGCCGUCAGGCAGCAAUGUUUGGUCACUGGUACAGAGACGAGUCGCCUUUGGGCGGGUGAAACGACUAUACUGUGGGCUGCAAUUCCAAGUAUACCAAUGUUUGAGCGUUGCUCGCGCAAGUUGGAGGGUAGGAAGCAACAGAAGCACGUAGUAAUACGCGACUCAAGAUUAAUGAUAGACGCCCACUCGUGGGUACAGAACCCGGCUUAUAGAUGCACUAUUCUU